UGUCUUGGGCUGCACACGUGCUACAAUGGCCGGUACAAUGAGCUGCGAUGCCGCGAGGCGGAGCGAAUCUCAAAAAGCCGGUCUCAGUUCGGAUUGGGGUCUGCAACUCGACCCCAUGAAGUCGGAGUUGCUAGUAAUCGCAGAUCAGCAUUGCUGCGGUGAAUACGUUCCCGGGCCUUGUACACACCGCCCGUCACGUCACGAAAGUCGGUAACACCCGAAGCCGGUGGCCCAACCCCUUGUGGGAGGGAGCUGUCGAAGGUGGGACUGGCGAUUGGGACGAAGUCGUAACAAGGUAGCUGUACCGGAAGGUGCGGCUGGAUCACCUCCUUUCUAAGGAGCACUUCUUACCAGGCUUCGGUUUGGUCAGAGGCCAGUACACCGGCGAAUGUUCGGUGCUGGUUGCUCAUGGGUGGAACGUUGACUAUUCGGCACGACAGGUUGAUCACUGCUAGUACUGCUUCGGCGUGGAACGUGGUGAGGGAUCGGUCGUGUCGGGCACGUUGUUGGGUGUCUGAGGGUACGGCCGAUGAGGCUGCCUUCUGAUCCGGCCCCAGUGAACUCAUCCGGUUUCGGGUGGGGUGGUGGGUGGCUGGUCGUUGUUUGAGAACUGCACAGUGGACGCGAGCAUCUGUGGCCAAGUUUUUAAGGGCGC
rnacentral:sRNA from 1 species